UAGAUCUGAGCCGCCGCCGCCUC
rnacentral:siRNA from 1 species